rnacentral:lncRNA from 1 species
AACUCUCACCACCGCCGGAGUAUUAAACUCCGGCGAAACUUCCAAUACCAUCGCUUCACCUCGAUCUUUCUCCAUAUCUCCGAUCAAUCAGUGAAACCAAUCUCGAUCAACAAAUCAACGAUUUUUUGAAUUCACCAAAAAAAAAAAGCGAAAUUUCAGAGAACGAAGAAGAAGAAUAAGAGAAACGAGAAAAGAAGUUGCUUUGUGUAAUUUCUUUCUUUCUCUUCUUUUUAUUAAAAAACAAAAUUCAGUUUUUUUUUUAUAAUAUUUUUUAUACGAAAAAAGAAAACAAAAGUACUGUUUGGUCACAAAGCGUUGCCUUGUGGAUCGAAACUAAGAACUCGACACGUCAGCGACGAACCGAAC